AUUGAACGCUGGCGGCAUGCCUUACACAUGCAAGUCGAACGGCAGCACGGGUGCUUGCACCUGGUGGCGAGUGGCGAACGGGUGAGUAAUACAUCGGGACAUGUCCUGUAGUGGGGGAUAGCCAGGCGAAAGCCGGAUUAAUACCGCAUACGAACUACGUAUGAAAGCGGGGGCCAUUCGGGCCUCGCGCUAUAGGGUUGGCCGAUGGCUGAUUAGCUAGUUGGUGGGGUAAAGGCCUACCAAGGCGACGAUCAGUAGCUGGUCUGAGAGGACGACCAGCCACACUGGGACUGAGACACGGCCCAGACUCCUACGGGAGGCAGCAGUGGGGAAUUUUGGACAAUGGGCGAAAGCCUGAUCCAGCAAUGCCGCGUGUGUGAAGAAGGCCUUCGGGUUGUAAAGCACUUUUGUCCGGAAAGAAAUCCUUGGCCCUAAUACGGUCGGGGGAUGACGGUACCGGAAGAAUAAGCACCGGCUAACUACGUG
rnacentral:rRNA from 1 species